UACGUAGGCAGCAAGCGUUGUUCGGAGUUACUGGGCGUAAAGGGCGUGUAGGUGGCCUGUUAAGUUCCGUGUGAAAUCUCCCGGCUCAACCGGGAGGGUGCGCGGAAAACUGGCGGGCUAGAGUACGGGAUGGGAGAGUGGAAUUCCUGGUGUAGCGGUGAAAUGCGUAGAUAUCAGGAGGAACACCUGUGGUGUAGACGGCUCUCUGGACCGCAACUGACGCUGAGACACGAAAGCGUGGGUAGCAAACAGG
rnacentral:rRNA from 1 species